rnacentral:rRNA from 1 species
UACGUAGGGUGCAAGCGUUGUCCGGAAUUACUGGGCGUAAAGAGCUCGUAGGCGGUUUGUCGCGUCGUCUGUGAAAACUCGAGGCUCAACCUCGAGCUUGCAGGCGAUACGGGCAGACUUGAGUACUGCAGGGGAGACUGGAAUUCCUGGUGUAGCGGUGAAAUGCGCAGAUAUCAGGAAGAACACCCGUGGCGAAGGCGGCUCUCUGGGACGGUACUGACGCUGAGACGCGAAAGCGUGGGGAGCGAACAGG